UUGGAGGUAUUAUAUUAGAAGUAAAGCAGGUGAUUGUUUAUUCUACCUUCUGCUGGUCAGUUAGGAUGAUGAGGGGCUAUGAAGAAGAAUGAAAGAAUCUUUGUGUUGUUUAGUCUGAAGAAGGCAAGACUGGAAAAGUCAAGAGGAGGAAGAAGAAGGUUGCUUCUGGAUGAGUCCUCCAAACUGAAUUUUGUUCAGUGAAUGGACAAAAGAGGGAUCAGUCAAAUUUUGAUUCCAUGCCCAGUGUGGAGCCCAAUGCAGAGCUUAUUCAUGACCUUGAGAUCAAGACCUCAGCUGAGAUCAAGAGUUGGACACCUGACUGACUGAGCCAUCCAGAUUCUUCUCAUUCAUCUUUUAAGGAGAAUUUCCCCACACAGCAAAAGUCAGAGCUGAGAGAAUUGACUUGGAACGCUAUUGAUUUUCACAGCAGCUUGCUCAGCAUUGGUAUGGAUAAGUGCACAAGCAGACCCUAUGCCUAAAUAGAUCUCAGAAUGCCAGACCAAGAGGAGAACAGCAAAGGUAAAAAUAUGGACUCUUACUAGUUCAUCUUGGUAUAAACUAUAGGAAGCAGUAUGUCCUAAUGGCAAUGUAAAAAUGAGGAAGUCAGAAGAAAAUUACGUAAUCGCGGAAUAGAUUAACAGGAUACAUUACAAGCUUGCGUAUGGAGAAGGAGAGCUGGGAAAGAUGCUGACUCGCAGUGUUCUCCCUUCUACUACAAUCUCAAAGAAACAGUUAAUGAGGAAAAUGGUGCAGUUGGUAUCACCUCCCACGAAUUCCUUUCUAAAGGCCAGAAUCCCUUUUUAGUAGUGGAAAUAUGAAUUCUGGACAGUAGAAUUCUUGGGUUCAAAUCCAGGCUCCACAAUUACCAGCUGAGUGUCCUUGGACAAUUUAAUUAGUCUCCCCAUGCCUCAGUUUCCUUAUUUGGGAAAAAGAAAUCACAAUAGCACACAUUUCGGAGGCGCUUAGGAGGAUCAAGUGAGAAUAACACACAGAAAGCACUUAGAAAAAUACCUACCUUGAAGUAAA